rnacentral:rRNA from 1 species
GAUGAACGCUGGCGGCGUGCCUAAUACAUGCAAGUCGAGCGAACAGACGAGGAGCUUGCUCCUCUGACGUUAGCGGCGGACGGGUGAGUAACACGUGGAUAACCUACCUAUAAGACUGGGAUAACUUCGGGAAACCGGAGCUAAUACCGGAUAAUAUAUUGAACCGCAUGGUUCAAUAGUGAAAGACGGUUUUGCUGUCACUUAUAGAUGGAUCCGCGCCGCAUUAGCUAGUUGGUAAGGUAACGGCCUACCAAGGCAACGAUGCGUAGCCGACCUGAGAGGGUGAUCGGCCACACUGGAACUGAGACACGGUCCAGACUCCUACGGGAGGCAGCAGUGGGGAAUCUUCCGCAAUGGGCGAAAGCCUGACGGAGCAACGCCGCGUGAGUGAUGAAGGUCUUCGGAUCGUAAAGCUCUGUUAUUAGGGAAGAACAAAUGUGGAAUUAACUAUGCCCGUCUUGACGGUACCUAAUCAGAAAGCCACGGCUAACUACGUG